rnacentral:lncRNA from 1 species
AGUCAACUUCAUGGUCAAAAAUUGCACAGGUAAUCUGACUUUUUGAGACAAAAACAAUUUGAAGUUGAUGCAAACUUGGUUGAAUUUUUUAAGUUUGCAUUUUGUGGCAAGUACAUUAAAGUUAUUAGGAUAUUGCGGUGCUAUUUAAGUUUAAUCUUGCAUAUUCAAACCCAUCCCCCUUUUUGACAUUUGGACGGCCGUCCAAAUGUCAAAAAGGGGGAUGGGUCUGGCUACGCGAAGCUAAUCAGAGGCUAUCACCUCGUCAAGACUUGUCACCUAAUGGAAUUGAGUGCAGUCUUUGCAGUAUCCACUGGAAUUAGCUGUAGUACAGUUUUCACAGGUUGUUUACAUGAACUACAGGAAAGGCUCCUGCUCCUUCUUCUGGUAACUCUGUACAAUGACGACAAGUGGGACAAGAGAGGUAAUAGAUCUCAUUCUCUUUAUCCAGAGGUAAUUUCACUAGACAGUGCUCACAGAAUGAAUGUAGACAAGGUAAAGUCUUAGGGUUGGUAUAGUGGUCAAGACACACAGGACAGGUGAGUUGUUCUUUCAGUUUGAGAAGACCAAGAGAA